rnacentral:rRNA from 1 species
GAGUUUGAUCGUGGCUCAGAGCGAACGCUGGCGGCAGGCCUAACACAUGCAAGUCGAGCGCCCCGCAAGGGGAGCGGCAGACGGGAGAGUAACACGUGGGAACGUACCCUUCAGUUCGGAACAACCCAGGGAAACUUGGGCUAAUACCGGAUACGUCCGUAAGGAGAAAGAUUUAUCGCUGAAGGAUCGGCCCGCGUCGUGAUUAGCUAGUUGGUGGGGUAAUGGCCCACCAAGGCGACGAUCAGUAGCUGGUCUGAGAGGAUGAUCAGCCUCACUGGGACUGAGACACGGCCCAGACUCCUACGGGAGGCAGCAGUGGGGAAUAUUGGGACAAUGGGCGCAAGCCUGAUCCAGCCAUGCCGCGUGGAUGAUGAAGGCCUUAGGGUUGU